rnacentral:siRNA from 1 species
GAAAAUCUCAUGAGUUAGAGUUGA